AUGCAGUUGCUCUAAUUGCAUAAGCACGUAACAUGCAGCAUAUUUGGUGUACAGCUCAUUUCAGCUUGACACGUGUUUGGCUUGCAGGAACUUAUGUUUUGGAAUCUAGGUUGCCUUGCUUUCAAUCUGUGAUAUCUUUCCGAUUGCCUCAUCGUGAAAGUACUAAAGCUUAAUUUAUUUCAUGUCAUCUGUAAAUUGAGAUUUAGUGGCAUACUUGGGGAAUGAUAGUCACCACCAUCUCGGAAAAGAACAUAUCAGUGAUGGUAAUUCAAUGUUGAAAGAGUUUGCUGUAAUUUAAUGUUAUCCACACAGUUUCUUUCUCCAUGUAGCAGCUUUAGGACACCUUGAUGUAUCAAAUAAUUUGCUUCUACAAAAAAUGAUCACAUUUUCAUGACAGCCUGCCAUGCCAAUGGUCAUGUUGUAAUUUUUCUAUUCCACAAAUUCUCUAUUCAAGUUUUUGCCCUCUAAAAGUGCAGUGAAUAUUAUCUGGGCACAUUUCUUUAUCUCCGUUUUAAAUGCAGGUAAUGAAAAAGGCUGCUAAGUGAUCCCAAUUGAAGAAGAAAGAAGCAGAAGCAGUUUUUCAAAAAGAACAGAUGGAUGCUUUGUUUCCCAGAAAUGGCCCUUGUGAUCCAGACUGGGAAGCCGAGGCCAAGCGGGUGGAAAAGGACAAUAAAUAACAUGCUUAAAGCUGCAAAUGAGCAGCUGAAAACUGAAAAUGUUAAACUCAACAAAUGGUGGAAAUGCUUGAAAAACAUUGUGCAGCAGGAUCUUUAAGACAGGUUUGAAUUCUGUAGCAAUUUUUAUUUCAUUUGCAGCAGUAAAUUUUUAUCUCUAAAUACUAAGAUGUACACCUGUGAUCAAAAGUAUACGGACCAGGGGUGGCGCGAUAAAGCCGAUUUUUUCCUCUGCCUGUGAACGCAACUUGAAAUUGAGAACUGCACUCCAAACUUGGCAUUGCGAACUUCUCAGUAUACUCGUCAAUUAAGGUUUAUGCUUGUUAAUUACGAAUCAAUUCAGCUUUUUCGUCGACCCUGCGGUCCGUAUACUUUUGCUCACGGGUGUACAUAUUUGGUUGUUUUGUCAUAUCUGUUUCACUUAUACUGAACAUAUGUGGUAGGUGAAUGUCGAAAGUUGUGAGCAAAGACAAUGAUUUUCCACUGAGUACCGCCAUGUGUCUACUUCUGCAGAAAACCGCAUGCUGUCCCAGGAGCCUCAAGCAGGCUGCUACACGAUGGCUGAGAAACACACCCAACAGAAGAAACCUUCACCACAGGUGCAGGUUUCUCCUGUAGGGUGUAGAUCUCUUCCUCCACAGGUGCAGGUUUCUCCUAGGAGAGCAGAGCACGUCACCUGCUGCACCCACACCUGAGCCAUCAUCGCCCACCAGGCCACAGUCCGCUGCAGAGGCCGAACUUCUAGUAAUCUGGGAGGAUUCCGACAAGAAUGAGAGGCUGGAAUCUUCUAAGAUAUUUUCAGUCGUUGGGAAUGAGGUGUUCCUGGAUAGUGGCCUGUGGUGGCAGAAAUCCGUGUACGAACAUUUGAUGCAGCACCCGAAAGAUGGCUUUUUUGUUCGUGAGGCCAGCGUACGGAUAUUUUCGACUGCAGGCCUCUUUAACAGAAGUGUCAGAAGUUCUAUUUGGGCACUGCACCAAAUAGAACUAAAGCGGAGGCCAAGCCACUCUUGGAUACUACGAAAUAUGAAGUUCUAAAAGCAUUUUUCAGGCACUACCUGGAGCGCCGAUGCAGCAGCCCCGCGGAAAUUGCCACAAGGCAUAGUUGCCUUGGCAAAAUAGUCGCCUGCAAAAUCGCAGACAUCAUGAAGCGGCAGAGGAAGCAUAUGUAGUUUUGUUUUGAGAAUAUAUUUGUGUACAUGUGCCUCAAUCGUCCUCUAUGCUUAUCAUUCUAGGGGUGUUGCCACAUUGUGGGCCCUCUGCGUGAAGAUAAACACCCACGGCACACUUAUACAAGACUAAUUACAAUACGCAGAUACAUGACCAACAGGUCUCAAUGAUCCAAUAGGCAAAUACCAAACCAAUACAUUACUAAUAGGCAAAUACAGAACCAAUAGGCAAAUAUAGUUC